rnacentral:rRNA from 1 species
UACAGAGGGGGCAAGCGUUAUUCGGAAUUAUUGGGCGUAAAGGGCGCGUAGGCGGCUUCGCAAGUGGUGGGUGAAAUCCCUCGGCUUAACCGAGGAACUGCCCUCCAAACUGCGUUGCUUGGGUCCGGGAGAGGUGAGUGGAAUUCCCAGUGUAGCGGUGAAAUGCGUAGAUAUUGGGAGGAACACCAGUGGCGAAGGCGGCUCACUGGACCGGAACUGACGCUGAGGCGCGAAAGCUAGGGGGAGCAAACAGG